AGAGUUUGAUCCUGGCUCAGGAUGAACGCUAGCGACAGGCUUAACACAUGCAAGUCGAGGGGCAGCGAGGGCGUAGCAAUACGCCUGUCGGCGACCGGCGCACUGGUGAGUAACACGUAUGCGACCUGCCCCCUACAGGGGUAUAACCCGUAGAAAUGCGGACUAAUCCCCCAUAGUCCUGGAGGCUGCAUGGCAUUCAGGGGAAAGGCCAGCCGGUAGGGGAUGGGCAUGCGGCGCAUUAGCUAGUUGGCGGGGCAACGGCCCACCAAGGCGACGAUGCGUAGGGGUUCUGAGAGGAAGGUCCCCCACACUGGUACUGAGACACGGACCAGACUCCUACGGGAGGCAGCAGUGAGGAAUAUUGGUCAAUGGGCGCAGGCCUGAACCAGCCAAGUCGCGUGAGGGAAGACGGUCCUACGGAUUGUAAACCUCUUUUGUCGGGGAGUAACGUGCGGGACGUGUCCCGUAUUGAGAGUACCCGAAGAAAAAGCAUCGGCUAACUCCGUGCCAGCAGCCGCGGUAAUACGGAGGAUGCGAGCGUUAUCCGGAUUUAUUGGGUUUAAAGGGUGCGCAGGCGGCGCGCCAAGUCAGCGGUCAAAGUUCCGGGCUCAACCCGGUGUCGCCGUUGAAACUGGCGUGCUCGAGUGCGUGCGAGGAAGGCGGAAUGCGUUGUGUAGCGGUGAAAUGCAUAGAUAUGACGCAGAACUCCGAUUGCGAAGGCAGCUUUCCAGCGCGCUACUGACGCUGAAGCACGAAAGCGUGGGGAUCGAACAGGAUUAGAUACCCUGGUAGUCCACGCAGUAAACGAUGACUACUAACUUUCCGGGAUGAUUGAGUCCUGGGAGGCACAGCGAAAGCGUUA
rnacentral:rRNA from 1 species